UACGAAGGGGGCUAGCGUUGUUCGGAAUUACUGGGCGUAAAGCGCGUGUAGGCGGGUCUUUAAGUCCGGGGUGAAAUGCCAAGGCUCAACCUUGGAACUGCCUUUGAUACUGGAGAUCUUGAGUCCGGGAGAGGUGAGUGGAACUGCGAGUGUAGAGGUGAAAUUCGUAGAUAUUCGCAAGAACACCAGUGGCGAAGGCGGCUCACUGGCCCGGAACUGACGCUGAGACGCGAAAGCGUGGGGAGCAAACAGG
rnacentral:rRNA from 1 species